GGUCUGCCCUCGGGUACCUGCUUCCCUGCCCAUCUGCUUCAAUACUUCUCCUUCACGGACCUCCCUGGUCCCAGGAGGCACGUUGACUCCUUCUUUUCCACCCGUGCUGACCCCUUGGAUACAGUGACUCAGCUUUUGGAUUGGCCUCUUGCCUUGGCACUUGGCCCCUACACGAUUCAGCUUCCUGUAUCUGCUCCCUGGCCACUCUCCGUCUGCCAAGCAGCUGAGGUCAUUUUCCGCUUGUCACCAUGUAUGGGAAUGGACAGCAAAAGCCGCCAUCACCCAGUCUGGAAACUUCAGCAUCAUCCGUUUCUUCUGCUCCUCACCCCCGGCCCUCCAUGCAAGUUCAUUCCACGGCAGCGUUACCUCGAGACUGACCACGUGGCUUGGUUUGCCCAGAACGGUCUCUGCUUACACCUGUCCUUCAGUGUAAUUAUUAGGAGCCUCCCUUUCACUCUCCAAAUGCCCUGGUUUGGUCAACAGAUGACGUGGCCCCACUGCAGUUGGUCUGACGCUUCACCUGGAAAAUCUCUGCUCGUCUUCGAAGAUCUGCUCCAGGUGCCGGAAGAGGCGCUGGGAAGCCUCGUGUGAGUUCCCUGGAGGAAGUCGGCUGCUCCUUCGGUGCCCCGCCAGCCUUGUAUGUGUAAUUCAUGACAGCGUUAAGCAUGGUAUAUUACUAGA